AUUGAACGCUGGCGGAAUGCUUUACACAUGCAAGUCGAGCGGCAGCACGGGGGCAACCCUGGUGGCGAGCGGCGAACGGGUGAGUAAUACAUCGGAACAUGCCCAGUCGUGGGGGAUAACACUUCGAAAGAAGUGCUAAUACCGCAUACGUCCUGAGGGAGAAAGCGGGGGAUCGCAAGACCUCGCGCGAUUGGAGUGGCCGAUGUCAGAUUAGCUAGUUGGUGGGGUAAAGGCCUACCAAGGCAACGAUCUGUAGCUGGUCUGAGAGGAUGACCAGCCACACUGGGACUGAGACACGGCCCAGACUCCUACGGGAGGCAGCAGUGGGGAAUUUUGGACAAUGGGGGCAACCCUGAUCCAGCCAUUCCGCGUGAGUGAAGAAGGCCUUCGGGUUGUAAAGCUCUUUCGGCAGGAACGAAACGGCGAGCUCUAACAUAGCUUGCUAAUGACGGUACCUGAAGAAGAAGCACCGGCUAACUACGUG
rnacentral:rRNA from 1 species